rnacentral:rRNA from 1 species
CCCCUAGAUGUUCUGGGCCGCACGCGCGCUACACUGAACAGUUCAACAAGUCUUAACCUUGGCCGAUAGGUCUGGGUAAUCUUUGAACGCUGUUCGUGAUUGGGAUAGACCUUUGCAAUUAUGGGUCUUCAACGAGGAAUUCCUAGUAAACGCAAGUCAUCAGCUUGCAUUGAUUACGUCCCUGCCCUUUGUACACACCGCCCGCCGCACCUACCGAUUGAAUGGUCCGGUGAAAUCUCGGGACGGCGGCUUGGUCGCUUGCGUCCGACUGCUGAAACUUGAUUAAACCAUAUCAUUUAGAGGAAGGUGAAGUCGUAACA